CCUAGGAAUCUGCCUCGUAGUGGGGGACAACGUUUCGAAAGGAACGCUAAUACCGCAUACGUCCUACGGGAGAAAGUGGGGGAUCUUCGGACCUCACGCUAUGAGAUGAGCCUAGGUACGAUUAGCUAGUUGGUGGGGUAAAGGCUCACCAAGGCGACGAUCGUUAACUGGUCUGAGAGGAUGAUCAGUCACACUGGAACUGAGACACGGUCCAGACUCCUACGGGAGGCAGCAGUGGGGAAUAUUGGACAAUGGGGGAAACCCUGAUCCAGCCAUGCCGCGUGUGUGAAGAAGGCCUUCGGGUUGUAAAGCACUUUAAGCAGGGAGGAAGGUUUGCUGGAUAAUACCUGGCAAAAUUGACGUUACCUGCAGAAUAAGCACCGGCUAACUCUGUGCCAGCAGCCGCGGUAAUACAGAGGGUGCAAGCGUUAAUCGGAAUUACUGGGCGUAAAGCGCGCGUAGGCGGUUACGUAAGUUGGAGGUGAAAUCCCCGGGCUUAACCUGGGAACGGCCUCCAAAACUGCGUGGCUAGAGUAUGGGAGAGGGAGGUGGAAUUCCGGGUGUAGCGAGAAAAUGCCUGUAUAUCCGCUAGAACAUCGAUGACUAAACCGGUCUGCUGGUCUGAUACUGACGCUUAUUCGUAUACUCGCGUGCAGAAAACAGGACUAUAUACCUGCUACCCCGAGCGGAUACGAUGUCGACUAGUCGUUGUGUCCUUGCCGGUUAAGGGUAUUAACUAUAUACUCCGACCGCAUGGAAGUACUGCCUCCAGAUUAAACUCGAUGAUUUAGGAUUGUCCUACAACG
rnacentral:rRNA from 1 species